rnacentral:misc_RNA from 1 species
GCGCCUCUUGUUCAUAAUCUCUUAUUCCCUUAGCAAAUUCAUCACAUAAGUUCUCCAAUAAAAUCCGUGCUUUCCUCUCACUCUCAAGUUCUUUUAAAGCAUUAGAGAAAGCUGAUUUCACUUCAUAAAACUCUCGAGCUAGCUUCCGAUGCAAGCUUUCUGAGUGCUUUCUUAACUUCCUCUCAACUUCUAGCUCUUCUCGUGCUGACUGAAUGACAGCUUUGAUUCGAUCAUGCUCUUUAUUCUUCCUAACAACUUUAUCCUGUGCAACUUGCUUCAUUAAGCCAUCUAUUUCUCGCCCGUUAGUUUGUUUCUCUUUUAGCAACUCCUUUAUUUGUGAUCGAGAACAAUCUAGUUCCAUUUUUAAAGAUUUUAACAGCGACAAAUUGCAUGCUUGCUGUUCUUCAAGACUCCAAAUCCGAUUGAGUACCUUGAGUAAUUCUGUUGAUGUCUUAAGGCUAUAACUUGACUCACCCAUCCUGCCCUUAAAAUCCAAAGAACUAGUAGAAGACCCCCUAGGGUUACAAGGCGCCACCUCCAUUGAGCUACCACAACUUGCAGAAGAUAAGGGCUGUAGUGCGUGACUGUUUCUAUCAACUGAUCGAUGGUGUUGCAUCAAUGAUUGCGCAACAUGUGUUCUUGAGGGACUUGCACUUGCUGGCUGAUCAUGUGAGUUAUUAGGAGGGUCGACCAAAUGAGUGCGAAGCUCAAGAGGCUUGUUGGACUUGUGGUGGCCACAGCGAGCUCCUUUAGGACCAAUUUUCUUGCUCAUUUUAGAAAGUGAAAGUUGGAGCUGGGGCUGAAUCUCCCAAAGGUUGGCACACAGCUUUCUAGCAGAAACGGUAGUGGUGGUAUUGAGGAAUUCUUGAACAGGGUUGUUGCUGUUACUUCCAUUUAGAGAAGAGAACUCGAGCCUCCAAGUGGACGAUGGAGUAGAUGGGCCUCCUCUUUUCCCUAAUUGUAUAAUCCCGCGUUUGAACUUUUUGCUAUCGUCCAACUCUCGUUGCUUUUUGCCUUUCCCUCCUCUCUCCACGCCUUUUUCUUUUCUUUCCAUUUCUCUUGCCCUGUCUCUUCAAAUUUCAAACUGUGGGUUCUUCUCUGUUUCGCUCAUCUUGCUCUUUUUCGCUUCCAAUCGUAACAGAAGCCAGCAGGAAGUGCUCAGGGCUCUCCUGACUCCUCACUGCAAUUCCUUCCUCUAUUCAAGAGUUCAAAUUUCAAAAAUCAAAAUGUGCUGCUGC